GAGGGUAUAGUUCAGUGGUAGAGUACAUGCUUAGCACGUACAAGGCCCUGAGUUCAAUUCCCAGUACCUCA
rnacentral:tRNA from 1 species